rnacentral:tRNA from 1 species
GGGCCGGUAGCUCAGCGGUAGAGCAUCUGACUUUUAAUCAGAGGGUCGCGGGUUCGAACCCCGCCCGGCUCA